rnacentral:antisense_RNA from 1 species
GGAUGGAGGGGAGAAGAGAAGACUCAUCAACAGAACAAAUGUUGCUGGAACAUUACUUAUAAUGGCAACAAUUGGAAACAAUCAAAGGAUGUCACUAUAGAGACUUGGGUUAAGAAAAUUAUGACACAUCAAAAGCACAGUGAAGAGAACUUCUGUCAAUCCUAUCAAGCACAUGAAGAUGUGAUGUUUCAACUGGAUUCAUUUCUAUAAAUAGGCUACGAGAAGAUCUGGUUAAGAGUAUCCUAAGGGAGGAUCUAAGCCUGUUCAUAGUCUACAAGCAAAGAAACAUUAAAAAACAAAACAAAAAACCAGAACUUGAAGAAACGAAGUGACCAGUUCACUAGCAUUCAACUAAUAAGGGAUAGAGCCAGGACUCAGUAUCUAGUCAUGUGAUGACAAAGCCUGCACUCUUACUGUACAGCCUCACCUUGGAUAAAUCUUAUUUCAAGACAGGUAAUUUUGAGAAUAUCUUAGGCCCCCCCUUCUAUCAAAGAGAGGGAUAGAAUUUAAAAUUUAUCUGGAAUGCCAAUUCUGAUUAACUCCUUGGAGAGAGUCGCUGGAGGACUGGUUGAGAAGAACCCUGAGGAUGCAUCAGUGUUCAUCAGGAAAGGGUGCCAACACCCAACGUGCCCACUCAUGAGCAGAGACGAGGUGAUGCAUGGGAAUCCACAACUCUAU